CCCCUCUCAGGGUCACACCUGCAGAGUUUCCAGUACUCUAUCAGUCUGAACUAUGGGAGGGAGAGUCAAGCAGAGGCAUACCCAUUUCAUUCCUAGCUUGGGUAGUGGCUAGGGAGUGGAAGGCAAUCUGCGACAAGU
rnacentral:snoRNA from 1 species